rnacentral:rRNA from 1 species
UACGAAGGGGGCUAGCGUUGCUCGGAAUGACUGGGCGUAAAGGGCGCGUAGGCGGCGGACACAGUCAGAUGUGAAAUUCCCGGGCUCAACCUGGGGGCUGCAUUUGAUACGUGUUUGCUUGAGUGGGGAAGAGGGUCGUGGAAUUCCCAGUGUAGAGGUGAAAUUCGUAGAUAUUGGGAAGAAACACCGGUGGCGAAGGCGGCGACCUGGUCCUUGACUGACGCUGAGGCGCGAAAGCGUGGGGAGCAAACAGG